UGAGUAAUAUAUCGGAACGUACCCUGGAGUGGGGGAUAACGUAGCGAAAGUUACGCUAAUACCGCAUACGAUCUAAGGAUGAAAGUGGGGGAUCGCAAGACCUCAUGCUCGUGGAGCGGCCGAUAUCUGAUUAGCUAGUUGGUAGGGUAAAAGCCUACCAAGGCAUCGAUCAGUAGCUGGUCUGAGAGGACGACCAGCCACACUGGAACUGAGACACGGUCCAGACUCCUACGGGAGGCAGCAGUGGGGAAUUUUGGACAAUGGGCGAAAGCCUGAUCCAGCAAUGCCGCGUGAGUGAAGAAGGCCUUCGGGUUGUAAAGCUCUUUUGUCAGGGAAGAAACGGUGAGAGCUAAUAUCUCUUGCUAAUGACGGUACCUGAAGAAUAAGCACCGGCUAACUACGUGCCAGCAGCCGCGGUAAUACGUAGGGUGCAAGCGUUAAUCGGAAUUACUGGGCGUAAAGCGUGCGCAGGCGGUUUUGUAAGUCUGAUGUGAAAUCCCCGGGCUCAACCUGGGAAUUGCAUUGGACACUGCAGGGCUAGAAUCUGGCAGAGGGGGGUAGAAUUCCACGUGUAGCAGUGAAAUGCGUAGAUAUGUGGAGGAACACCGAUGGCGAAUGCAGCCCCCUGGGUCAAGAUUGACGCUCAUGCRCGAAAGCGUGGGGAGCAAACAGGAUUAGAUACCCUGGUAGUCCACGCCCUAAACGAUGUCUACUAGUUGUCGGGUCUUAAUUGACUUGGUAACGCAGCUAACGCGUGAAGUAUACCGCCUGGG
rnacentral:rRNA from 1 species